rnacentral:rRNA from 1 species
AUUGAACGCUGGCGGCAGGCCUAACACAUGCAAGUCGAACGAGUGGCGGACGGGUGAGUAAUGUCUGGGAAACUGCCCGAUGGAGGGGGAUAACUACUGGCAACGGUAGCUAAUACCGCAUACCAUCGGAUGUGCCCAGAUGGGAUUAGCUAGUAGGUGGGGUAACGGCUCACCUAGGCGACGAUCCCUAGCUGGUCUGAGAGGAUGACCAGCAACACUGAAAUGGAGACAGGGUCCAGAGUCCGACGGGAGGCAGCAGUGGGGAAUAUUGCACAAGGGGGGAAAGCUUGAUGCAGCCAUGCCGCGUGUAUGAAGAAGGCUUUCGGGUUGUAAAGUACUUUCAGCGAGGAGGCGUUACUCGAAGAAGAAGCACCGGCUAACUCCGUGCCAGCAGCCGCGGAAUAC